AUCUUCUUGAGUCAUGCCGUAAUCCACAUGAAUCUUCUGAAACCCAUCGAUCGGGAGGAAGCGAUUGGGAUAACAACAGGCAGUUAUCGUAGAGAACAGAUGGAGAUCGUGACUUCACGAAUGAAAGGAGAUGGGACUUCGUUGGCGACGACAAACGCCGCAGUCGAUCGACCAUGAUCCUAAUCGGCCGGCUAAUCGUGAGCAGAACGAAUGGAGCGAUCAGAAAGCAUGGAUAGGACAUGCGAGCUAGCAGCGGCCAGCAACAGCAAGAAUCUAAAAACAUCGGAGCGCAUUCGCAUCACUGCUGCAGGUGCAGAUCAAUCAAACAAUGUUGUUGUUACAUUGUUGGAUGUCAACUCUGCUGACAGUAAGGAGCGAGGAGGAGUGACGACUAUGGAUUCCAAGCAAUGAGCUGAUGAUGCGUCUCUUUUUUCAGUAUGAAAAUGAAGACGUCGAUCCGACCGCUGAGGAGUGCCUCUAGGAGCAAGCCGAGUAUAAAGACUUCUAAAUUUUUCAUGCCUAGCCCCAAGCCUCACCCAUGGAAUAAGUUAGUCGCCUAGGUGCUUGCCUAGUGUUUAGUUUCUUAGUCGCUUAGUUUUUCCGCGUUGUCGAUUUUAUGGUUUUCUGUGCUGCUGUGUUGCUCAUCUAUGGGCAUGUCUACGAUAGCAACUUUUGUAAGGACUACUAUCCAGUGAUGUAAUAAAGAAGUUUACUUUGAUUCCA